GUCUAUGGCCAUGACACCCUGAACAAGCCCAAUGUCUGAUCUUGGAAGCUAAGCAAUGUCGGGCCUGGUUAGUACUUGGAUGGGAGACCACCUAGGAAGACCAGGUGCUGUAGGCA
rnacentral:rRNA from 1 species